rnacentral:rRNA from 1 species
GCAAUUCGGCAUGGUCUGAUUUCUAUUGAUUGUCUUGUUUUUGAGUUAGGUUUGUUUAAGGUUUUAUUGAAGAAUCAUUAAUGGUUAUUGUAAUUUUUAUGAUCUAAUUUUUUAUACGAUAGGUUAUUUGUACUGUGAGGGGUGGAGUUAUUUGUAUUAUUUUUUUAAAAGUUGAUUUUAUUUUUCGUACCUUGUGUAUCAGGGUUCAUUGAAUUUUAUUAUUUAUUUUUAUUUCCCGAUUUUAAAGGAGUUAAUAAUUUAUGUUAGUUACUGUUUCAUUAGUAUUAAUAAUAAUUUAUUGGUAGUGAAAUGUUAUUCGUCUUUAGUGGUUUCUGGUUUUUCAAGAAAUGAAUUUAAUUCAUGCAUCUUAUUUAAUUAUUAUUGUUUGUUUAUUUAUUUUUAUUUUAUGCUAAGAUUAAGGGGGAUUAGCUCUUUAUUUUAUUUUUAUAAUCUUUAUUUUAAUUUAGUUUUGUGGAUUUUAUAGUGAUUUUCAAUUUGAUUAUGUUAAAAUUUUAUUUGUUCUUUUAUUUAUUUUUUUGUGAUUUAUAUUUUUAUUGAAAUGUUUUCUUUAUCUUUAUUUGUAUGGUAAUUAUUGUGUAAUUAGUAAAUUUUAUUUUUGUAUUGUUUUAAUUGGAUGUUAAUUUCUUUUGAGGAAUUCGGCAAUUUUGUUGUGUCCGCCUGUUUAACAAAAACAUCUUUUCUUGUUAGUUUUUGAAGUAUGGCCUGCCCACUGACUUUUAGUUGAAGGGCCGCGGUAUUUUGACCGUGCAAAGGUAGCAUAAUCAUUAGUUCUUUAAUUGUGAUCUGGUAUGAAUGGCUUGACGAGACACAAACUGUCUUAGGAGUAUUGUUUGUUGAAUUUAGUUUUUAAGUUAAAAUUCUUAGAUGUUUUUAUGGGACGAGAAGACCCUAUAGAGUUUUACAUUUAUCUUAUUUAUAUUAUUGUUUGUUUUGGUUAUAAGUUUGGUUUAAUGUUUUGUUGGGGUGAUGGGAGGAAUACUAUUUAACUCCUCUUUGUUUUUAUAUAUUUAUUUAUAUUUGUUUGAUCCAUUUAUUUUGAUUAUAAGAUUAAAUUACCUUAGGGAUAACAGCGUUAUCUUCCUUGAGAGUUCUUAUUGGCAGGGAGGUUUGCGACCUCGAUGUUGGAUUAAGGUGAAUUUUCGGUGUAGGAGCUGAAAGUGAUUAGGUCUGUUCGACCUUUAAAAUCUUACAUGAUCUGAGUUCAGACCGGCGUGAGCCAGGUUGGUUUCUAUCUAUAAUAAUGUUUAUAUCUUAGUACGAGAGGACCGGGUAUUUGGAAUAAUUCUAGCUUGUAAUAUGAUUUUCAUUAAUAUUAUGUUACUAUUUUGGCAGAUAAGUGCGGUGGAUUUAGAAUCUAUU